rnacentral:rRNA from 1 species
AUUGAACGCUGGCGGCAUGCCUUACACAUGCAAGUCGAACGGCAGCACGGGAGCAAUCCUGGUGGCGAGUGGCGAACGGGUGAGUAAUAUAUCGGAACGUGCCCGGUCGUGGGGGAUAACGUAGCGAAAGCUACGCUAAUACCGCAUACGAUCUACGGAUGAAAGCGGGGGAUCGCAAGACCUCGCGCGAUUGGAGCGGCCGAUAUCAGAUUGGGUAGUUGGUGAGGUAAAGGCUCACCCAAAGCCGACGAUCUGUAGCUGGUCUGAGAGGACGACCCAGCCACACUGGGACUGAGACACGGCCCAGACUCCUACGGGAGGCAGCAGUGGGGGAAUAUUGGGACAAUGGGCGCAAGCCUGAUCCAGCCAUGCCGCGUGCAGGAUGAC